CUGAGACAGGUGCUGCAUGGCUGUCGUCAGCUCGUGUUGUGAAAUGUUGGGUUAAGUCCCGCAACGAGCGCAACCCUUAUCCUUUGUUGCCAGCGGUUCGGCCGGGAACUCAAAGGAGACUGCCAGUGAUAAACUGGAGGAAGGUGGGGAUGACGUCAAGUCAUCAUGGCCCUUACGAGUAGGGCUACACACGUGCUACAAUGGCAUAUACAAAGAGAAGCGACCUCGCGAGAGCAAGCGGACCUCAUAAAGUAUGUCGUAGUCCGGAUUGGAGUCUGCAACUCGACUCCAUGAAGUCGGAAUCGCUAGUAAUCGUAGAUCAGAAUGCUACGGUGAAUACGUUCCCGGGCCUUGUAACACACCGA
rnacentral:rRNA from 1 species